GAUGAAGAACGCAGCGAAAUGCGAUAAGUAAUGUGAAUUGCAGAAUUCAGUGAAUCAUCGAAUCUUUGAACGCACAUUGCGCCCCCUGGUAUUCCGGGGGACAUGCCUGUUCGAGCGUCAUUUCACCACUCAAGCCUCGCUUGGUAUUGGGCAACGCGGUCCGCCGCGUGCCUCAAAUCGACCGGCUGGGUCUUCUGUCCCCUAAGCGUUGUGGAAACUAUUCGCUAAAGGGUGUUCGGGAGGCUACGCCGUAAAACAACCCCAUUUCUAAGGUUGACCUCGGAUCAGGUAGGGAUACCCGCUGAACUUAAGCAUAUCAAUAAGCGGAGGA
rnacentral:misc_RNA from 1 species